rnacentral:rRNA from 1 species
AUGAACAAAAGAAAAAGGAUGGCUAGGGGAGCCGCUGUUUUUGUUGCACUAGCUGCAAUGGCAGACAUUGUUCGGGCUAUAAUAAGGAAGAGGAUACCACGUAUUACCUAUGGCCCAAUGCAUGAAAGAGAUCGAAUCAGAUUUGAUUAUCUAAACCAAAAAAUUUGGCAAAGCGAUGUGUUAUGCAAAAACAUGCUAAGGUUUGAAAGAGCUGCAUUCUUUCGCUUGUGCGGCAUAUUGAGGGAUCGCAAAUUGCUACAAGACAGUCCACAUCUUAGUGUGGAGCAACAUGUUUUUGCAUACAAUUGGGCAUAA